UUUACCGCCCACCAUGAAAUAUAAUCUCGCUGCUGCGAAACUCCAACGCGAGCUACCUGAGACCCGGUGAAUUUUCUACCGAAUAUGGAUGUGCUUUAAGGAAUUCCAGUGCUAAUUAUACUUUUUGGGAAAUUUGAGUGAUUCACCACCCUUUGAACAAUUAAGGUAUAUUAAUUGAGGCCACCUCGAAGGAAUCCUAGAUUUGUCAAGAAGCCAUAUGUUUUAAUUGCUGCCCAACAAAUGGUACAGUGUCUUUGUAAAUUAGAUUCAAUUUGGGGAAAUAGCUGGUGUACUGGAGUGCACAUUCCUAAAUGAAUUCACCAGUUUACAUUAAGGAUCUACUUUCAAAUCCUGUAAUAUGGUGUAUGGGAUACUCUAAAGUGCAUGUCACAGACUAAAGUUAUGAAUAUAACUUCCAAGAAUUUUUAAGAAAUUGUUAUAACUUUAAAAUGUAUGUAUAUAUACUAAAUAAAUAUUGAAUUAAAAUUUAUAAAA